UACACUCCUACGGGAGGCAGCAGUGGGGAAUUUUGGACAAUGGGCGAAAGCCUGAUCCAGCAAUGCCGCGUGAGUGAAGAAGGCCUUCGGGUUGUAAAGCUCUUUUGUCAGGGAAGAAACGGUGAAAGCUAAUAUCUUUUGCUAAUGACGGUACCUGAAGAAUAAGCACCGGCUAACUACGUGCCAGCAGCCGCGGUAAUACGUAGGGUGCAAGCGUUAAUCGGAAUUACUGGGCGUAAAGCGUGCGCAGGCGGUUUUGUAAGUCUGAUGUGAAAUCCCCGGGCUCAACCUGGGAAUUGCAUUGGAGACUGCAAGGCUAGAAUCUGGCAGAGGGGGGUAGAAUUCCACGUGUAGCAGUGAAAUGCGUAGAUAUGUGGAGGAACACCGAUGGCGAAGGCAGCCCCCUGGGUCAAGAUUGACGCUCAUGCACGAAAGCGUGGGGAGCAAACAGGAUUAGAUACCCCAGUAGUCC
rnacentral:rRNA from 1 species